GACGAACGCUGGCGGCGGGCUUAACACAUGCAAGUAGAACGCAGUUGCGAACGGGUGAGUAACGCGUAGGUAACUGCCUCAUAGCGGGGGAUAACUAUUGGAAACGAUAGCUAAUACCGCAUAAUGUGAGAUGGACCUGCGUUGUAUUAGCUAGUUGGUGAGGUAAAGGCUCACCAAGGCGACGAUCCAUAGCCGACCUGAGAGGGUGACCAGCCACACUGGGACUGAGACACGGCCCAGACUCCUACGGGAGGCAGCAGUGGGGAAUAUUGCGCAAUGGGGGCAACCCUGACGCAGCCAUGCCGCGUGAAUGAAGAAGGCCUUCGGGUUGUAAAGUACUUUCGGUGGCGAGGCGUUACCUACAGAAGAAGCACCGGCUAACUCCGUGCCAGCAGCCGCGGUAAUAC
rnacentral:rRNA from 1 species